rnacentral:rRNA from 1 species
GAUCCUGGCUCAGGAUGAACGCUGGCGGCGUGCUUAACACAUGCAAGUCGAACGAAGCAAUUUAGCGGAAGUUUUCGGAUGGAAGCUGGAUUGACUGAGUGGCGGACGGGUGAGUAACGCGUAUGCAACCUGCCCGAUACCGGGGUAUAGCCCAUGGAAACGUGGAUUAACACCCCAUAGUACUUUUAUCCUGCAUGGGAUGUGAGUUAAAUGUUCAAGGUAUCGGAUGGGCAUGCGU